rnacentral:rRNA from 1 species
UUUCGCACCCAGCCGCCUUCCUUUCCCACUUCUUUGGUCUCCUUGGGUUCUUUUCGAAGCCCCCUCGCCUAACGACGCGUUUACCCCAGGCCUAGAAAGGAGUUCCACGAGCAGUCGUUGGACCUGCAAGAGCGGCCCGGGUAUCAAAGUGAGCGAAUAGGAGACAUACGCAGACAAGCUCGUUAUCUUUGUUUUAGAGGAUAACUACUAGUCGUUACCGAGUGAAUGACCCACGACAUGAGCAAAUAGUGAGACAAACUCGAGUGAAAACGACGUCAUUAACUUACCGAGGGAAAGACCAGAAUACCUUUCGACAAAAAGUUAACGACCAACCAGAACGGGAUGAAAUUGCCACGACGCGUACAAAUACUCGUAAAACACGCCGGUUACUAACACUUGGUCGUCCAACAUUUGUAGACCAUAGAAGGUUUUUUCCUUCCAAGUCUGUUUGGACUGCUACAUUAAAGUCGACGUGUCUUUAUGUAACUUGUUUUACCUAGUUUUCGUAAACUCUGAGAGCAAUUGUUCAAAUUCUGAUGUUUGCGCUCCGCGAGUUAAAACCUCCUCCAUCUCCGCCUUUCCUCUCGGUCCCGACUUGCUCUCGACCGUCGCUCCCUACACUUAGGUAAGAAGGUGGGCUUAAUGACUAAGACGUUUCGAGAUGACAAGUCCGUAGUCCACUGUGUUACAUACAAGUGGACUACGCGACGAUCAAGAAAAAUCGAAUAUAUGAUAUAAAUCGGGACGUAAAACACACUAAAGAGGAAGUCACGGAAAUUACAUCCUUAACCAGUCUGGUUCAACUCCCCUAUUAACAUCUCCUAGUAUAAAUCUAAACUAUAAUGUAUCGACUUGUUAAUACUUUACAACAUUUAUCCAAGACAGAAACCUACCAACAUACUUAGACCUGGUACAUUACCAGUGCUGAAAGAGUCCCUACUGACUUUACACAUACGUAUUUAUCGUAAGACCGUCAGUC